UAGUCUACGCCGUAAACGAUGGAUACUAGUUGUUUGGUUUUCGGACUGAGUGACUAAGCGAAAGUGAUAAGUAUCCCACCUGGGGAGUACGUUCGCAAGAAUGAAACUCAAAGGAAUUGACGGGGGCCCGCACAAGCGGUGGAGCAUGUGGUUUAAUUCGAUGAUACGCGAGGAACCUUACCAGGGCUUAAAUGUAGUCUGACAGCUUUAGAGAUAGAGUUUUCUUCGGACAGAUUACAAGGUGCUGCAUAGUUGUCGUCAGCUCGUGCCGUGAGGUGUCAGGUUAAGUCCUAUAACGAGCGCAACCCCUGUUGUUAGUUGCCAGCGAGUAAUGUCGGGAACUCUAGCAAGACUGCCGGUGCAAACCGCGAGGAAGGUGGGGAUGACGUCAAAUCAGCACGGGCCCUUAUGUCCAGGGGCUACACACGUGUUACAAUGGAUGGUACAAAGGGGCAGCUACCUGGUGACAGGAU
rnacentral:rRNA from 1 species